CCUACGGGAGGCAGCAGUAGGGAAUAUUGCUCAAUGGGGGAAACCCUGAAGCAGCAACGCCGCGUGGAGGAUGAAGGUUUUCGGAUUGUAAACCCCUUUUGUUAGAGAAGAUAAUGACGGUAUCUAACGAAUAAGCACCGGCUAACUCCGUGCCAGCAGCCGCGGUAAUACGGAGGGUGCAAGCGUUACUCGGAAUCACUGGGCGAAAAGAGCGCGUAGGCGGGGUCGCAAGUCAGAUGUGAAAUCCUAUGGGUUAACCAUAGAACUGCAUUUGAAAAUGUUAUUCUAGAGUAUGGGAGAGGGAGGUGGAAUUCUUGGUGUAGGGGUAAAAUCCGUAGAGAUUAAGAGGAAUACUCAUUGCGAAGGCGACCUGCUAGAACAUAACUGACGCUGAUGCGCGAAAGCGUGGGGAGCAAACAGGAUUAGAUACCCGAGUAGUC
rnacentral:rRNA from 1 species